AAAGGCAUGGCUUAAAGGUUAUGUGCUCAGUGUCUUGGAAUCAUCAAUCUGGGGCAGCGUGUAGCAUGCCUAGAGGGGGAGGCAGGCUGAACAGUUAGGAGAUUACACAAUAAUCCAAGUGGCGUGGGGGCCUAGGUUCAGGGGCAACAGAAUAAAGAGGAAAGUGUGGAUAUGCCAGACUUUGAGGAGGAAGCAUCAGCAGGACCAACUUUAAAGAAGCUUGUCCAGGAUCACAGAGUCAGGAGGCAUAGAGAACUAUAUAGAACGCCAGAGACAGACAAAUUAGAAUCCUGCCCUCAAAGAGCUGCAGGUUCAGGGAGAAAGUGGUCAAAACUAAGUCCCAGACUGAGGUGAGAAUCAAGAACUGGAGACGUCUGGGCAAGAAGGUAAAAUUGCUUAAGUCAAGAGUAAUAACAGCAGCUAUCAUUUAUUGGGCAUUUACCAUGUUUCAGGCCCAGCACUAAACCCUUUGUACAUAUUAUCUCACUCACUCCUUGCAAUAACCCCAGGAGGUUGGUAUUUAUUGUACCCAUUUUGCCGAAAGGCUAUGUGACUUGUUUAAAGUCACACAGCCAGACUCCAAAGCCUGUGCUUGUAACUAUCACACUAAAAGACUCGGGAUAGGUCUGAGAAAUAGGGCAGGGCUAAGAAUGGAGGGAGAAUGGUUAACUAAGGGGCUAGAGUAUAGUUGUAGAGGCAGGAGCUGACCCACUCCUUCAGACUAACUCAUGCUGUCUGAUGUAUAUUUAUCCAAUAUAAUUUUUAUCUCCCCAAGAGUUUAUUCUGAUAAGGAGAGGUAAGAUCUUGGGCACUGUAGCCAUGGCAGAAGUGGGAGAAGAGGGCAGCUAGUGAUGGUGAGAAGAAGAUAUAGGGGAAAAAAGAGUUUGAGACAUUUUACAAUACAUAAUUUUUUCGAAAGAUGGCCCUGGCUAUAGAUAAGAUUUGUCUGGAAAUUUUGGGAGAAUUUGAGAAUUGAGCUAGCUGAGAUGGACAUCACUGUGCUUCUUCUGUGAAGCUGGUACCAUUCCAUCUGAGGAAGAGAAAGCAGCUGUAGAGAAUUCUCUGUGGAUUUGGGGAUUAACUCUGUGAAGGAUGGUGCUAACCAAAGGGAAAUGGCUACACAGGUCACCUAGCCUGGACUUCAAUGUCAAAUUUAUUAGUUAAGUAAUUACGGCUUUCAUUUAAGGCGUAUCUUCUAGUUGAAUUGUUCAUUGGUAGACACAGUCCUUGCCCUCAAGUAGUUUAUCUCUGAGACGGGAGGAAGGGUAGGGAAGAGGGGAAUGGGAAUAACCUGUCUGUUUCCCUUCGCUAAAAGAUGUAAGAAGUGAUACAAAAAUGAACCAUAGCAUUAAAC
rnacentral:lncRNA from 1 species